rnacentral:rRNA from 1 species
AACGAACGCUGGCGGCGCGUUUUAAGCAUGCAAGUCGAACGGUAGGGAGGUGCUUGCACCUCCUGAGAGUGGCGAACGGGUGAGUAACGCGUAGGUGAUCUACCCUUGAGUUGGGGAUAGCCCAUGGAAACAUGGGGUAAUACCGAAUAUGCUCUUAUGUUUUGACGUAAGAGGAAAGGAGCGUUUGCUUCGCUUGAGGAUGAGCCUGCGUAUGAUUAGCUAGUUGGUAGGGUAAGAGCCUACCAAGGCGACGAUCAUUAGCCGGCCUGAGAGGGUGACCGGCCACAUUGGGACUGAGACACGGCCCAGACUCCUACGGGAGGCAGCAGCUAAGAAUCUUCCGCAAUGGACGCAAGUCUGACGGAGCGACGCCGCGUGUGCGAAGAAUGUCGAGAGAUUGGAAAACAACUUUUAUAUGUGAGGAAUAAGCGUAUCAGGAAAUGGGUAUGUGAUGACGUUAGCAUAUGAAUAAGCU